rnacentral:rRNA from 1 species
UACGUAGGGUGCGAGCGUUAAUCGGAAUUACUGGGCGUAAAGCGUGCGCAGGCGGUUCGUUAUGUCCGAUGUGAAAGCCCCGAGCUUAACUUGGGAAUGGCAUUGGAAACUGGCGGGCUGGAGUGCGGCAGAGGGAUGCGGAAUUCCAGGUGUAGCGGUGAAAUGCGUAGAUAUCUGGAGGAACACCGGUGGCGAAGGCGGCAUCCUGGACCGGAU